AAUAUCAGUACAAAUGACAUGCAAAGAAACAUAUAUUAUAAUUUGUAAUCAAAGGGUGAGUUCAAAAUAGAUAAAAAUGAGUCAUUGAAAACAGUCAAAGUAUCCCCAUAAUUUUAAUUUUUAAGGAAAAAAAAAGCAUCAAAAAUUUAAUUUUGGCUUGAGGGUUGUUCUAGGUUUUCCUUUUCACACAACUAGCAGUGAUUUUAUAGUAUUUGAACAAACCCCCCCAAGAUUUUUUUCCUGCUGUCAACCUGAAUUAAAAUCAACUUUAAAACAUAAAAACCUAAAGACAUGGAUUUAAAAUUCUUUCCUACAACAUAUAACUUUAUUUUAUUUUCUUGUUAUGACGUUUUGCCUAUGAUUUAAAUAGAGAUCUAAUUUUCCCAGGAAGUUUUUAUAUAACCAGAUUAUCUGCCCUUAUCAAAAAGAGUCUCUGUCAGACUACUCUAUGGUUGUGCAUUUCUCACUAAUAUUAUGACAAUAUUUUAUUUAAUAGAAGUAGUAAAAAUCUGGUUUUCAGAGAGCUUCUGGUAACUAAACCAUCUUCCUAACUACAAGUAGGAGACUGUACACAUAAUUACAGCAGCAGUUACAUAAUGCAUGAUUAGGAACAAGAAGAAAGUACAAAGGCAAGGCAUAUCCUCUGAUUUGAAUAUAAACUCUGAAAAAAAAAUACAAGUUAUUUUACACUAUGAAAUACUCAUCAGAUUCAUUCAAAUAAGCUAGGGGCUACUACUGCUCAGCAUUUAAAACUACACUUAUUUGAUGACUGUAUUGGCACACACAUAACCUGCAGAUUAUGAACAGGAGAUCAACUCCAAUUUUGCAUAACAUGGUAAUUCUCUCUUUCCUUCUUUCAGAAUUUCACCUCCAGCCCUCCCCCUAGCACAGAGGGUUUGGGCAGAGGAAGCUGCUCAGUGCACUAAUGUCCCUGCUGUGGCAUUACCUGUGCACUGCAGGUGUGUGCAGAGGAAGCUGCUCAGUGCACCAACACCUGUGCUGUGGCAUUACCUGUGCACUGCAGGUGUGUGCAGAGGAAGCUGCUCAGUGCACCAACACCUGUGCUGUGGCAUUGCCUGUGCACUGCAGGUGUGUGCAGAGGAAGCUGCUCAGUGCACCAACACCUGUGCUGUGGCAUUGCCUGUGCACUGCAGGUGUGUGCAGAGGAAGCUGCUCAGUGCACCAACACCUGUGCUGUGGCAUUACCUGUGCACUGCAGGUGUGUGCAGAGGAAGCUGCUCAGUGCACUAACACCUGUGCUGUGGCAUUACCUGUGCACUGCAGGUGUGUGCAGAGGAAGCUGCUCAGUGCACUAACACCUGUGCUGUGGCAUUACCUGUGCACUGCAGGUGUGUGCAGAGGAAGCUGCUCAGUGCACUAAUGUCCCUGCUGUGGCAUUACCUGUGCACUGCAGGUGUGUGCAGAGGAAGCUGCUCAGUGCACUAAUGUCCCUGCUGUGGCAUUACCUGUGCACUGCAGGUGUGUGCAGAGGAAGCUGCUCAGUGCACUAAUGUCCCUGCUGUGGCAUUGCCUGUGCACUGCAGGUGUGUGCAGAGGAAGCUGCUCAGUGCACCAACACCUGUGCUGUGGCAUUACCUGUGCACUGCAGGUGUGUGCAGAGGAAGCUGCUCAGUGCACUAAUGUCCCUGCUGUGGCAUUGCCCGUGCACUGCAGGUGUGUGCAGAGGAAGCUGCUCAGUGCACCAACACCUGUGCUGUGGCAUUGCCUGUGCACUGCAGGUGUGUGCAGAGGAAGCUGCUCAGUGCACCAACACCUGUGCUGUGGCAUUGCCUGUGCACUGCAGGUGUGUGCAGAGGAAGCUGCUCAGUGCACCAACACCUGUGCUGUGGCAUUGCCUGUGCACUGCAGGUGUGUGCAGAGGAAGCUGCUCAGUGCACCAACACCUGUGCUGUGGCAUUACUCAUAGCAGGGACAUGCUCCCCUCACAGAGUGUGCUGAGCUGCAGGUUAUGUGUCUGACAAUGACCUGGGGGCUCUGGGGUCACACAGCACUGCAAACACAGGCCAAGGUUGGGCUUUUCCUAAAGCAGGCAAACACAGUGCUAGUGACUCAGAUUCUCUUGCUAAGAUAUCAUGCCUAAAACACAUUCUCCUUGCUAUUCCUCAGGUCUAAAGCCAUCAGGGCUAACAUGACAAAGCAAAAGAAGCUCCUAAGCAGCAGAGGAAAGCAGAGUGUUAAGAACAGAAAGCUGUCAGGAGCAGGAUGAAAUACAAACAGCACAGUGCAAAGUUAGAAAUGAAGCCAAGAUUUUCGUUUCCAGAAUUUCAAACUAAUUCAACAUAAAAAUUCCUUGCUAGUUUCCUUUUCCUUCUGAUCAGGAAUCUGGUAAGGAUGAACAAGAGUGUAAAUAUACAUCAAAGUGCAGUUAUUUGUUUUUACCAAAGACUGGGAGAUCUAGAAAUAAUACCAGACUUAAUAAUGUAUGUAAAUUCAUUCCUAACUUCAUUCAUUCAUUUUCAAGCAUUACUAAGCUACCAUUACAUGUACUUAGACAUAUAACCAUUACAAUCUUCAAUGAGUAUUUUUAGCUGUUCUUGGAUAAGGAAACAAAACUAUUAGUAUCUGUAUAGUCCCAUUAAACAAGAUUAAAUUGCUUUUACUAUUUAGCAUUGAUUCUAAACAUCAUUGUCAGGGACUAUACAAGAAUAAAUACAGACAAACAUAGCAUAUAUACUGCACAUGAAACAAACUCAAAAAAUACAAGCUAACCAAAAGACUUACUACAAAAAAAGUGAAGCAAUAUCAACAACUAUUUAAUUGAAAUCUAUAAAAAUAAUCCAUGUCAGUGAAAUGAAAAAGUGGGCAGUAAAAAUAAAAAGCACGGGCAUUGUUUGAAAGGUUAAAUUAAAAAGCAGAGUUGGUAGCAUCUGACAACCACUAUUUCAGCAAAUGAUGAAUGAAUUCACGAGCAAGCGCAAUGAGCAGUUGCUCCAUGCAAAAUGCAGGAGCAACAAAGUGAAGAGAAUGUGUGGGAUAACAAAUAAAGCAAAUUAUUUCAGUUCAAUUAGCAAAGGAUAUUUUUCAAGGGUAAAGAAGUAAUUCUGUAGCAUAAAUGACAUUGUUUCAAGUCCUCUAAGAAGUUCUGAAGGUGUUUCAAGCUUCUGGGGUAGAGGUGAGAGAUGGAAUGCAUAGUCAUGUAGCCAGCAGUUUUCAGAGGCUAACUGAGCAAACCCAGGGUUAUAGAAGCAUCUGUGUGUUAAUCAAAUAACAUUUCCUUAAAAGUUCGUUUAAAAGGCCAUAAUAGAUAGAUCCUACCAGAAGC